rnacentral:rRNA from 1 species
GACGAACGCUGGCGGCGUGCUUAACACAUGCAAGUCGAACGAAGUGGCGAACGGGUGAGUAACGCGUAAUCAACUUGCCCUUCAGAGGGGGACAACAGUUGGAAACGACUGCUAAUACCCCAUACUGAAGGAGGGGAUUGCGUCUGAUUAGCUAGUUGGGGGGGUAACGGCCAACCAAGGCGAUGAGCAUACGCCGGUCUUAGAGGAGGAACGGCCACAUUGGGAAUGAGACACGGCCCAGACUCCUACGGGAGGCAGCAGUGGGGAAUCUUCCGCAAUGGACGAAAGUCUUACGGAGCAACGCCGCGUGAGUGAUGACGGCCUUCGGGUUGGAAAGCUCUGUUAAUCGGGACGCGGUACCGGAAUAGAAAGCCACGGCUAACUACGUGCCAGCCGCCGCGGUAAUUC